rnacentral:rRNA from 1 species
GCAUAAAUGGAGCAAGUAUCAGGCACGAGAAUUCAGCCCAAAACACUAAGCUAUGCCACACCCACACGGGCCAUCAGCAGUGAUAAACAUUAAGCAAUAAGCGAACACACACCCCAAGCUUGACUUAGUUAUAAUGAAACCAUCACACCUUUAACAAAAGGUAACUUGAACCACGAAAAUUAAGAAACAAACUAGGAUUAGAUACCCUACUAUGCUUAAUCGUUAAUAUGACACCCCAAUACACAAGAUGUCCGCCAGAAUAUUACGAGCGAAAAGCUUAAAACUCAAAGGACUUGGCGGUGCCCCACACCCGACUUAGAGGAGCCUGUCCUAUAAUCGAUAUUCCACGAUAAACCUCACCAUUCAUUGCCAAAUCAGCCUAUAUACCGCCGUCGUCAACUUACCCCAUGAGGGUAAAACAGUAAGUAUAACAGCUAACUAGCUAAAAAGUCAGGUCAAGGUGUAGCUUAUAGAAUGGAAGAGAUGGGCUACAUUUUUUAAAAUAAAAUAAACGGCAUGGAACCAUGAAAUUAGUUCCUAAAGGAGGAUUUAACAGUAAAAUUAACAAGAAAAUUAAUUUUAAACACGCUCUGGGGCGCGCACACACCGCCCGUCACCCUCUUCACAAAACACUACUUCAAUAUAUAAACAAUAAAAACCAAAAAGAAGAGGCAAGUCGUAACAUGGUAAGCGCACUGGAAAGUGCGCUUGGAAUAA